rnacentral:rRNA from 1 species
GACGGACGCUGGCGGCGUGCUUAACACAUGCAAGUCGAACGGAAAGGCCCUGCUUUUGUGGGGUGCUCGAGUGGCGAACGGGUGAGUAACGCGUGAGUAACCUGCCCUUGACUUUGGGAUAACUUCAGGAAACUGGGGCUAAUACCGGAUAGGAGCUCCUGCUGCAUGGUGGGGGUUGGAAAGUUUCGGCGGUUGGGGAUGGACUCGCGGCUUAUCAGCUUGUUGGUGGGGUAGUGGCUUACCAAGGCUUUGACGGGUAGCCGGCCUGAGAGGGUGACCGGCCACAUUGGGACUGAGAUACGGCCCAGACUCCUACGGGAGGCAGCAGUGGGGAAUAUUGCACAAUGGGCGGAAGCCUGAUGCAGCAACGCCGCGUGCGGGAUGACGGCCUUCGGGUUGUAAACCGCUUUCGCCUGUGACGAAGCGUGAGUGACGGUAAUGGGUAAAGAAGCACCGGCUAACUACGUG